UACGAAGGGGGCUAGCGUUGCUCGGAAUCACUGGGCGUAAAGGGUGCGUAGGCGGGUCUUUAAGUCAGGGGUGAAAUCCUGGAGCUCAACUCCAGAACUGCCUUUGAUACUGAGGAUCUUGAGUUCGGGAGAGGUGAGUGGAACUGCGAGUGUAGAGGUGAAAUUCGUAGAUAAUCGCAAGAACACCAGUGGCGAAGGCGGCUCACUGGCCCGAUACUGACGCUGAGGCACGAAAGCGUGGGGAGCAAACAGG
rnacentral:rRNA from 1 species